UGUUUUAUUUCAAUUUCAAAUCACAAUCAGUAAAUUUUUAUUCUAAACGUUAGACAACGUCGGUCAACAAUGAAAAUACUUAAUGAAUCAUUUAAAAAAACCACUAUUGGCCUUCAUGAGAACGCAUAAAAUACUCAAAACUACGUGCAUGCCAUAAAUAUUCAUUAGCUUACACUUCAUCCAGUGAAGUACAAUGGGCAAUAUUUCAAAUACUAAUGAAAAACUUCACCUACGUAAGUCAGAGUUUCUGGAUUAAUACUGCGAUGGAGUGGAAAGAGAACAACGGGCGGAGUACUUGCCAUACGGGAUAAGACAACAUUCUGCUGAAAUUUUUAGACCCCAUUUCCUUUUUUCACAAUCUAAAAGUUUAUUCAAAAGUUGCUGCAUUGUUUUUUCUUGCGCUUGCGAAUCAUACUUUAAGAUUGCAUUGCGAAAAUAGUGAAAAAAUGUUUAUCGAACUUUAAUGUUAGAGACUACAAUAUAAUCGUUACACAUUCCAGGUAUAUUUUGGACGACUGCAGCUUCAAAUUUAUUCAAAUCCACGUGCUGUGCUAUUUUGCAGUUCUUUUCUUUUAAUUGUAGUUUAGAAAUAUUUAUUCUUAUUAUUUGUGAAAAGCGGUUCAAAUAGUUCAUAUAAUAUAUAAACCACGGACGAGAAUAGCGCAGCAGAUAGUUUGAAAGAAAAACCUCGUUGCGCUUCUUCCAAAAUGCAUAAAAUCAUCUUUUUGUGUCUGCUGAUAAUCGCCAUUUUCUGCGUGAACAUCAAAGCGAUUGAUCACUUUUCAAGGAGAGAGUGGAAAUGGUACACGCCGGUGUGGGCGCUCGGGUGUAUGGAGUUAUAAAAUUAGUUUAAUCAUUCCUGAAAAUCCUUUCGCUUCAGUCGGUCCGUCGAUCGGUGAAAGUGCAUUCCAUUGUAAUUGAAAAAAUUAGAUCACAAAUUUUUUAUUUUAUAUUUUAUACAUUUUAAUAAAUCCGAAACACAAAAAAAACAAAA